GACGAACGCUGGCGGCGUGCCUAACACAUGCAAGUGGAGCGACGAACCAGGGCUUGCCCUGGGGCCAAGCCGCGAACGGGUGAGUAACACGUGGGUAACCUGCCCCGAUGACCGGGACAACCCGAGGAAACUCGGGCUAAUACCGGAUGUGGUGGACACACUUAAGUGUGUCCACUAAAGGAAGCUUCGGCCUCCGCAUUGGGAUGGGCCCGCGGCCCAUUAGCUAGUUGGUGGGGUAAAGGCCUACCAAGGCAACGAUGGGUAGCUGGUCUGAGAGGACGAUCAGCCACACUGGGACUGAGACACGGCCCAGACUCCUACGGGAGGCAGCAGUGGGGAAUCUUGCGCAAUGCGCGAAAGCGUGACGCAGCAACGCCGCGUGAGGGAAGACGGCCUCGGU
rnacentral:rRNA from 1 species